UACGGGGGGGGCAAGCGUUGUUCGGAAUUACUGGGCGUAAAGGGCUCGUAGGUGGCCAACUAAGUCGGACGUGAAAUCCCUCGGCUUAACCGGGGAACUGCGUCCGAUACUGGUUGGCUUGAGUUUGGGAGAGGGAUGCGGAAUUCCAGGUGUAGCGGUGAAAUGCGUAGAUAUCAGGAGGAACACCGGUGGCGAAGGCGGGUCUCUGGGCCGAUACUGACGCUGAGGAGCGAAAGCGUGGGGAGCGAACAGG
rnacentral:rRNA from 1 species